AUUGAACGCUGGCGGCAUGCCUUACACAUGCAAGUCGAACGGCAGCACGGGGGCAACCCUGGUGGCGAGUGGCGAACGGGUGAGUAAUGCAUCGGAAUGUACCCAGUAGUGGGGGAUAACUAGUCGAAAGACUGGCUAAUACCGCAUACGCACUAUGGUGGAAAGCGGGGGAUCGCAAGACCUCGCGCUAUUGGAGCAGCCGAUGUCCGAUUAGGUAGUUGGUGGGGUAAAGGCCUACCAAGCCUGCGAUCGGUAACUGGUCUGAGAGGACGACCAGUCACACUGGGACUGAGACACGGCCCAGACUCCUACGGGAGGCAGCAGUGGGGAAUUUUGGACAAUGGGCGCAAGCCUGAUCCAGCAAUGCCGCGUGUGUGAAGAAGGCC
rnacentral:rRNA from 1 species